rnacentral:rRNA from 1 species
GACGAACGCUGGCGGCGUGCUUAACACAUGCAAGUCGAACGGAAAGGCCCUGCUUUUGUGGGGUGCUCGAGUGGCGAACGGGUGAGUAACACGUGAGUAACCUGCCCUUGACUUUGGGAUAACUUCAGGAAACUGGGGCUAAUACCGGAUAGGAGCUCCUGCUGCAUGGUGGGGGUUGGAAAGUUUCGGCGGUUGGGGAUGGACUCGCGGCUUAUCAGCUUGUUGGUGGGGUAGUGGCUUACCAAGGCUUUGACGGGUAGCCGGCCUGAGAGGGUGACCGGCCACAUUGGGACUGAGAUACGGCCCAGACUCCUACGGGAGGCGGCAGUGGGGAAUAUUGCACAAUGGGCGGAAGCCUGAUGCAGCAACGCCGCGUGCGGGAUGACGGCCUUCGGGUUGUAAACCGCUUUCGCCUGCGACGAAGCGUGAGUGACGGUAAUGGGUAAAGAAGCACCGGCUAACUACGUG